CACUUCGGCUGCAGGACCCCAUCCUCACUGGCUGUGGCGGGAGACUGGACACCUGCUACGGCGAGGGCCUCUCCAGGAUGACCUCAUCUCGUUCUCCACUAAUCACAGCUGCAAAGAUUUAUUUCCAAAUAAAGUCGCCUUCUUGGGUUCCAGGGGACCUGAUUUUGGGAGGCGCUGUUCCCCCAGCACAGGGAUACAGCAGGCCCUUGGCCUCAUCGGACAUCUGGUGCCCGCGCGCCCUCUCACUCACGUUGUCCAGGCCUCUGCCCUUCUCAACACCCGGACGUGGGCGUUCAGGUGUCCUUCCUGCCCUGGCGUAUGCCCCACUUAGCUGAGUGGGGGGCUUAGACCUCCGCCCCAUCUGCAGUCCUCCUGGGGCCUGCCAAUCAGACCCCCUGCAGCUGCAUGGUCUUGGGGCAUUGCUGUAAGGCCCUGGGGCCUUUCUGAAUCCAUCUGCAAGCUGGAGCUGAGUCCAGGAGCUGAGGCCGGGAGCAGGAGGUGAGGUUGCUAGCUGAGGCUGGGAGCAAGAGCUGAGGCCACUGGAGCUGAGGCUGGGAGCUGAGAUGUGGAGCUGGGGCUGAGGCUGGGAGGAGGGGUUGAGGAUACCUGGAGUUUGGGAGCUGGGCUGAGAGGCCAGGGAGGAGAGCCCUGCCACCACCCUGCUGCCCCCCCUCGCCACCCCCCUGCUGCCACCUUGCUGCCACCCUGCCUCCUGUUCCCAGCCCUCUGGCCAGUCCCUGUGUUCGUUUUCUGUUUUCUACUUACCAGAAACUUAGCAGCUUGAAACAGCACCCGCUCGGCACACAUUCCUGUUGGGAGUGUGAAAUGGUGCAGCUGCUGUGGGAAAUGGUCUGGUGAUUCCUCGCAAAGCUAAACAAUUGCCAUAGCACCCUGCAGUUCCACACCUGGGGAUGCACAGCCAGAAAUGAAGACGGGUGUCUGAGCAAAAACUCGGACAUGAGUGUUCACAGCAGCGUUAUUCACAGUAGCUAGAAGGUGGAAACAACCCAAGUGUCCGUGGACCGAGGAACAGAUCAACAGGCCACGGCGCACGCACGACGGAGUAUUGUGCAGCCAGAAAAAGGGUGAAGCUCCCUUACACAUUAUGGCGUGGGUGAGCCUCAGAAACAUGGUGCUAAGUGACUGCGUUUAUAUAAAAAGCUUGCACUGAUGUAAAGUGUCUAGAGUAGAGAAACCCAGGAGAUGAAGUGGAUUCGUGGCUUCCAGGGCCUGAGGGCAGAGGGAAGGGACCGGCUGCUGAUGGGUCUCCGUUUGGGAAGAUGAACGAGUUCUGGAGCUUGCUUGAGGCAGUGUCUGCACAACAGUGUGAGUGCACGGAAUGUGGCUGAAUUGGACUCUUUAAAAUAGUUCAGGUGGGCAAUGUUAUGUUAUGUGUGUUUUACUACCAUACAAAUAAGUAAAUAAAUGGACAAGCCUGCAC
rnacentral:lncRNA from 1 species